CCUACGGGAGACUGCAGUGAGGAAUAUUGGUCAAUGGGCGGGAGCCUGAACCAGCCAAGUCGCGUGAGGGAAGACGGUCCUAUGGAUUGUAAACCUCUUUAGGCGGGGAGCAAUGCCGGGCCCGCGUGCCCGGGGGGAUAGUACCCGCAGAAUAAGCAUCGGCUAACUCCGUGCCAGCAGCAGCGGUAAUACGGAGAAUGCGAGCGUUAUCGGGAUUUAUUGGGUUUAAAGGGUGCGUAGGCGGAUUUUUAAGUCUGCGGUAAAAUGUCCUGGUUAAACCCGGGCCGGCCGUUGAAACUGGGGAUCUUGAGUGGGCGAGAAGUAGGCGGAAUGCGUGGUGUAGCGGUGAAAUGCAUAGAUAUCACGCAGAACUCCGAUUGCGAAGGCAGCAUACCGGCGCCCGACUGACGCUGAGGCACGAAAGCGUGGGGAUCGAACAGGAUUAGAUACCCUAGUAGUC
rnacentral:rRNA from 1 species